rnacentral:rRNA from 1 species
GAGCGGACAGAUGGGAGCUUGCUCCCUGAUGUUAGCGGCGGACGGGUGAGUAACACGUGGGUAACCUGCCUGUAAGACUGGGAUAACUCCGGGAAACCGGGGCUAAUACCGGAUGCUUGUUUGAACCGCAUGGUUCAAACAUAAAAGGUGGCUUCGGCUACCACUUACAGAUGGACCCGCGGCGCAUUAGNUAGUUGGUGAGGUAACGGCUCACCAAGGCAACGAUGCGUAGCCGACCUGAGAGGGUGAUCGGCCACACUGGGACUGAGACACGGCCCAGACUCCUACGGGAGGCAGCAGUAGGGAAUCUUCCGCAAUGGACGAAAGUCUGACGGAGCAACGCCGCGUGAGUGAUGAAGGUUUUCGGAUCGUAAAGCUCUGUUGUUAGGGAAGAACA